UACGUAGGGGGCAAGCGUUGUCCGGAUUUAUUGGGCGUAAAGAGCGUGUAGGCGGCUGGAUAGGUCCGUUGUGAAAACUCGAGGCUCAACCUCGAGACGCCGAUGGAAACCAUCUAGCUAGAGUCCGGAAGAGGAGAGUGGAAUUCCCGGUGUAGCGGUGAAAUGCGCAGAUAUCGGGAAGAACACCCGUGGCUGAGGCGGCUCUCUAGUACGGUACUGACGCUGAGUGCGCGAAAGCCAGGGGAGCAAACGGG
rnacentral:rRNA from 1 species